rnacentral:lncRNA from 1 species
GAGGGUUAGUGAGAAAACGUGGAGGUAUCCCUUGAGUAGGGUUGGAAAGCUGGAGAAAGGGGAGAGAGGAAGCAGAUUGGCAGCAACAGUGUGUCCUUACCCAUCUCUCUUAACAUAUUUGAGACCCAAUGGGAGAAUGAUCUUUUUCACUUUUUGCCCCCCCCCCCCCCACACACACAUAUUCGAUGUCUUUGGAAGGAACAAAAGAAAGCCAAAUGAAAGCUGAAUAUGGACUUGUGGAAAUUGCAGUGGAAUUGGAAUUGAAAGACCUGAAUUCAAAUCCCAAUUAUUUCCGUGACCUAGGGCAAGUUUCUUAAUUAUCUCUGUGUCUCAGUUUCCCCAUCUCUGACAUUCAAAGUUCUAUGGUCAUUUUCAACUCUGAUAUCCUAUGAUUCUGUGAAGCUCAAUUUCUAACAUUAUCUAAAUUCUCUUGCUUUUUAUUUGUAUUUUCUGUUCCUUGUUUCCUUGCAUUUCCUUGAAACCUGAAUUCUCUGGGUCAUGAAUAUGAAUGGAGAUUGUGUGUUGGAGAUCCUGGAAUAAUGUCAGACCCAUAGGGGAGCACCAGCUGAUAAGGAGACUGAUUAUGAAGAUAAAACUACAAAGAGUUGGACAGCAGAAAGAUGGAAAUAUCUCUGGCCUUGACCCAGUCAGGCUUUGGAAGAUGGAGUGCAAAUCUAGGACUCCUGGACAAGGAAUUGCAGUGCAUUACUGGAUAGAGUCCAGCCCCAUUUAGAAGGCAGGGAUUCCUUCAACCAGGGAUGAGCUGGAGCCAGCUUGAACAGGCUCUGGAGAGCAGAUUGUUAAAUUUUCAGUGUGAGCAUCUAUACCUCAAUCAUUGGCAAAUGCUACAAAUCUGGGAUUGUUUUGUACAUACAAGGUAUAGAGGUGUACAGGGCAUUCAAGGAGGACCAGCACUACUGGUGUGAGGACUUGCUGAUCCCUUUUCAGGGUUGUUCAUCCACCUUUGGUGUCCACCUGUCAUCCAACUCUCACCUGUGGCUCCAAGAAGCUGUAGUAU